UCUCCGUACGGGGAAGGAUGAGAAGCUUCGACCAAGGUUCGAUUCGAGCGCAGCGAGAAAGCGUUGCCGCAGGCAACGACCCGAAGGGCGAAGCGCGCAGCGCUGAGUCAUCCUUCCCCCACCACCA
rnacentral:sRNA from 2 species